UACCAGCACCCCGAGUGGUCGGGACGAUUAUUGGGCCUAAAGCAUCCGUAGCCGGUCCUGCAAGUCUUCAGUUAAAUCCAGCUGCUCAACAGAUGGGCUGCGGGGGAUACUACAGGGCUAGGAGGCGGGAGAGGCAAGCGGUACUUUAUGGGUAGGGGUAAAAUCCGUUGAUCCAUAGAAGACCACCAGUGGCGAAGGCGGCUUGCCAGAACGCGCUCGACGGUGAGGGAUGAAAGCUGGGGGAGCAAACCGG
rnacentral:rRNA from 1 species